CGGAACUUGCAGUGAGCCAAGAUCGCGCCACUGCACUCCAGCCUGGUGACAGAGCGAGACUCCGUCUCAAAAAAAAAAAAAAAAAAGCCUAAAAAGGCUGGGGGUAUGAUAAUGGAAAAAAGCUUUUGAAAAACUGAAUUAGAAGUCCAACCUCUUGGUCACAUGCAUUUCCCCUAACUAAAAUAUGCUAUUUCAAAAUAUCCUGUAGCAUUUUUGGUAUAUGGAGGUUUUUUUUUUUAAAUAAGAAUGGAAUAAACAUCUAUAUAUAGAAUGAAAUAACAUCUAUAACUCACAGAGUAAGGCUAAGAAACUUACAACCAGCUCUAAAAACUCAUUUAGUUUCUAAGGAGACAGCCUUAGAAACUGACAGUUAGAAAAAACAUUUAUCCAAUCAUAAUUAAAAGUACAAUUUAACAUCUAUAUUAAGAAUUACAUACUUGAGGCCAUAGGCUGGCACUGGCACCUGAAUUCUAAAAUUACCACUUAAGAUUCAGAAUGGAAUCUUUUUAUAUGGAAUGGAAUCUGCAAUCUUUUUAUAAAGCAUUCCCUUUCUUUACACUAUUACUGUCACAAGUGAUAUCCACUUACUAUAAUGUUCUACUAAGUAAACACUACAGUGUCAUUAUGAAGAAACAAACUACGAUCAAAGAUAAUAAUGUAGUUCUGGAAGAUGACACACUUUUUCACUAUACACAGUAUAAAAUGGCACACUUUGUAUGGAAGAAACAUGCAAUGAAUUGGUUGUAGAAAUAUUAAUGUAGUUUUAGCUACACCAGAAUUCUGUGUAGGUGGUUUACAGUUUGGGAGUCUAAUUAUUACUUAAUGGUAUACAGAUACAGUAAAGACAUCUGAACACACAACAUACAAUACCACUAGGUAUUAACAUGGAAUUUAAAAAAAAAAAGACUGAUGUAUAAAGCCUAAGUGUAAGUAUGGACUUUAUUUUUUUAAAAAAAAGUCUUUUGAGAACUACAAAUUACAAAGUAAAAGCAGAUCACUACGUAGAAA
rnacentral:lncRNA from 10 species